rnacentral:misc_RNA from 1 species
GGUUAAUCUAUCAUUAAAUUCAUUAAAUUUUAUAUUAUAAUUAAUAAAAUCCAUCAUUAAAUUAAAUUAAAAGUUUUUUAUGAUUAAUAAAAUCUAUUGUUAAUCAAUCAUUUUAUUAAUUUAAAAAUUAGAUAGUUUUGAUUAGAGGGUCACAAAACCUAAUUUCUACAUCUUUUGUCCUUCUGUUCCUUCUUAUUUUUGAACUUGAAGGGGACUCUCUCUCCCUUUCUCUCUACCUCUCUCUCUCUGUGAUAGUCGUAGCCGUCACUGCUUCCUAUAUCUCUCUCCUGUUCACUCCCUAAGCCUUUCCUUUUUCUUUGUGAAACCGAGCCCCUCUAAGGUAUUGAUGGUAAAGUUUCAAUUUAGUUCUUAUUUCUUUGUUUUAUUUCGAUUCUUUGUUUGCCAUUCUAAUUUCUAUACUUCCGGCAUAUCUUGACGGACCAUGAAACCCAGCUUCCCAACGAAGUUGAGAGUGGGGGCUACUUUAGUUUUCACUUAUUUGUUUCUUUUCUUUUUAAUUUUAUCUAUUUCCUGGGUAAUUGUUGAUGGACAUAUUGCUAGAAGGUUGAGUUGCUUCGUCUAAUUCAAAAGCCUAACCAGGGUGAACUUCAAUAUUGAGCUGUUUUAACAAAGAGGAUUGAACCCAAAGGAUUUCAUUUUCCUCUCUAGAUUGUCCUUCUGCAGGUUUGAAUUUCAAUUUCCUCUCUAGAUUGUGCUAUUUCGAUUGACAUUUUAAAGAAAUAUUUGAUCAAAUCUCACUAAUUUUGAAUCCUAACUUUAGAGCAGGCCGUAUUUUGUGCUUGUUUGCUUGCUUUUGUUCAAUGAAAUUUUGAGUUUGUGGUUGCUUGGUCUCUGAGAAAGAGGGAGAUGAGAUAAGAAAUUUUGUUUUUAAGUUUGAAGGAAAAUUAACUUUGUUUUGAGUAUAUUAGUUUUUUUCCCCCUCUGGGUAAUGGGAUUAUUUUUGGAUAGUAAUCAAAGUGAGUGUUUGUGAAUCUUUGUUUAUUGAUUGAUUUUUUGGCUUGAUUGAUUAUUCAUCGAUACAUAUAAUAAGAAAUUUGAAUUGCAGAGCCAUAGGAUAUAAAAUUAUAUUCAAGCCAGUCAUGAUGCAUUAUGUCUUAGGUCCCUUAAUUUAGAGCAAGAAACUUAUUAUGGUCUAGUUUCCUCCAUAUGAAGCCCAUCAAAUUGCUUUGUUUUGAAAUAUACACUAGCUUAGGAGUUCAGUCAUAGUACGUAUAAGCUUAAAAACAAUCUUAACAUAUGUUGUUAUGCAGUCAAGGCUUGAAUUUUUUGUGGCUUUAGCCUACCAGUACCAAGCAAUUUAGGUAAGAGCUUAGCCUAGCCUCACAAUGGAAAUUGGUAUUCAAUUUUAUGUUAUGAAAUUGUAUAAAAUUAAUUACCAAUAGAUUCCAUCGGUUGCAAUGAACCUCAUUGAUAACCUCAAUUACUAAGAUUUUGAAAUUUGUUGGUAAAUCGGUAGAAAAUUUAAAAAACUAAAAAUAUCAAAUAUGGCAAUCCAUUGGCAAAUUUACCAUUGGAUUUAAAAAAA